rnacentral:rRNA from 1 species
GAGGAUUUGAUCCUGGUCCAGGAUGAACGCUGGCGGUGUGGAUAAGGCAUGCAAGUCGAGCGGAACUAAUUUUGAAGAAGUUGAGAUUACAUCAAGGCGACGGAUUUAUUAGUUUAGCGGCGAACGAGUUAGUAACACCCUAGUCACGUACCCCGAAGUCAGAGAUAGUCCGCCGAAAGGCGGGGUAAUACCUGAUAUUGUCGCAAGACGAAAGCCGCAAGGCGCUUCGGGAUCGGCUUAGGUCCGAUCAGCUAGUUGGUAAGGUAACGGCUUACCAAGGCUAUGACCGGUAGGGGAGGUGAGAGCCUGACCCCCAACGACGAGACUGAGACACGGCUCGUACUCCUACGGGAGGCAGCAGUCGAGAAUAUUCGACAAUGGGCGAAAGCCUGAUCGAGCGACACCGCGUGCAGGAUGAAGGCCUUCGGGUCGUAAACUGCAGUAACCCCGCAGUAAUGCAAAUGAACGCGGGGCGAGAAGAGGUGGGUAACUACGUGCCAGCACCAGCGGUAAUACGUAGACCUCAAGCGUUAUCCGGAUUUAUUGGGCGUAAAGCGCAUGUAGGAGGUUUUGUGCGUCCUUGGUUAAAGCCCACCGCUCAACGGUGGAAGUGCCCGGGAUACGGCAGAACUAGAGGGAGUUAGAGGUGAAUGGAACCCACGGUGUAGGGGUGAAAUCCGUUGAUAUCGUGGGGAACACCAAAGGCGAAGGCAGUUCACUGGGACUUUCCUGACUCUGAGAUGCGAAAGCGUGGGGAGCAAAAAGGAUUAGAUACCCUUGUAGUCCACGCCCUAAACGAUGCCUGUUAGCUGUUUCGAGUAUCGACCCUCGGGGUGGCGUAGCUAACGCGUUAAACAGGCCGCCUGGGAAGUACGAGCGCAAGCUUAAAACUCAAAGGAAUAGACGGGGACUCGCACAAGCGGUGGAACAUGAGGUUUAAUUCGACGGUACGCGAGGAACCUUACCAGGGUUUGAAAUUCUAGGUGAAAGCCGGUGGAAACAUUGGCCCUCUCUCAAGGACACCUAGUUCAGGUGCUGCAUGGUUGUCGUCAGCUCGUGCCGUGAGGCGUUCCCUUAAUUGGGGUAACGAGCGCAACCCCUGCUCCGUGUUACAAGUGUCACGGGGAACUGCCCAGCUCAAAGAAUAGUAGAUAGGUUACAGGUUAAAGGUUUUAGUGGAAUUCACUAUCACCUACAACCUAUCACCUACAACCUAGUAUUUUUUGAGCUGGGAGGAAGGAGGGGAUGACGUCAAAUCCGCAUGGCCCUUUGAUACCCUGGGCUACACUCAUGUUACAAUGGUCAAGACAGCGGGCUGCCAAGCCGUAAGGCGGAGCCAAUCUCUAAAACUUGACCCCAGUUCGGAUUGGGGGCUGCAACUCGCCCCCAUGAAGCCGGAAUCGCUAGUAAUCGCGGAUCAGCAACGCCGCGGUGAAUACGUUCUCGAGUCCUGUACUCACCGCCCGUCACGCCAAGGGAGCCGGUAAUAGGUGAAGUUCGUUUACGCGAAUCAGCCUAGGAUCGGUGACAUGGGCGAAGUCGUAACAAGGCACGCGUAGCGGAAGCUGUGCGUGAAUCA